rnacentral:misc_RNA from 1 species
UUUCCGUAGGUGAACCUGCGGGAGGAUCAUUAAUGAGUUGUCAUGGGGUUCGAUGCUGGCAGCCAGUUUUUGGAUGCAUGUGCUUGCCCUAACAAUCAUCUUCUUCCAAACACCUGUGCACAUUUUUGAGGGAGUCUUGAGUUGGUUGCCGCUCUUGGGUGAUUUUCUCACACUCCCUUAAAUCAUUAUACGCUAUUAACAAUGUUGAACGUGCUCUGUGCCGCAAGGCCAUUAAUAUAAUACAACUUUUAACAACGGAUCUCUUGGCUCUC